CAGUCGCCGCGGUAAUACGAAGGGUGCAAGCGUUAAUCGGAAUUACUGGGCGUAAAGCGCGCGUAGGUGGUUUGGUAAGAUGGAUGUGAAAGCCCCGGGCUCAACCUGGGAACUGCAUCCAAAACUGGCAAGCUAGAGUACGGUAGAGGGUGGUGGAAUUUCCUGUGUAGCGGUGAAAUGCGUAGAUAUAGGAAGGAACACCAGUGGCGAAGGCGACCACCUGGACUGAUACUGACACUGAGGUGCGAAAGCGUGGGGAGCAAACAGGAUUAGAUACCCGAGUAGUCCCUGUCUCUUAUAC
rnacentral:rRNA from 1 species